UACGUAGGAUGCAAGCGUUGUCCGGAAUUAUUGGGCGUAAAGAGCGCGCAGGCGGUGUGACAAGUCAGAUGUGAAAGAGGCCGGCUUAACCGGCAAGGGUCAUUUGAAACUGUCAGACUAGAGUGCAGCAGAGGAUAGUGGAAUUCCCGGUGUAGUGGUGAAAUGCGUAGAUAUCGGGAGGAACACCAGUGGCGAAGGCGACUAUCUGGGCUGCAACUGACGCUGAGGCGCGAAGGCUAGGGUAGCAAACAGG
rnacentral:rRNA from 1 species